rnacentral:rRNA from 1 species
GAUGAACGCUGGCGGCGUGCCUAAUACAUGCAAGUCGAGCGAACAGACGAGGAGCUUGCUCCUUCGACGUUAGCGGCGGACGGGUGAGUAACACGUAGGUAACCUACCUAUAAGACUGGGAUAACUUCGGGAAACCGGAGCUAAUACCGGAUAAUAUUUCGAACCGCAUGGUUCGAUAGUGAAAGAUGGCUUUGCUAUCACUUAUAGAUGGACCUGCGCCGUAUUAGCUAGUUGGUAAGGUAACGGCUUACCAAGGCAACGAUACGUAGCCGACCUGAGAGGGUGAUCGGCCACACUGGAACUGAGACACGGUCCAGACUCCUACGGGAGGCAGCAGUAGGGAAUCUUCCGAAAUGGGCGAAAGCCUGACGGAGCAACGCCGCGUGAGUGAUGAAGGUCUUCGGAUCGUAAAACUCUGUUAUUAGGGAAGAACAAACGUGUAAGUAACUGUGCACGUCUUGACGGUACCUAAUCAGAAAGCCACGGCUAACUACGUG